rnacentral:tRNA from 1 species
GGGCGGGUGUUGGAAUUUGGUAGACAAGAUAGAUUUAGGAUCUAUUGGGGUUUUCCCCGUGAGGGUUCAAGUCCCUCCUCGCCCACCA